UACGUAGGGGGCUAGCGUUGUCCGGAUUUAUUGGGCGUAAAGAGCGUGUAGGCGGCCAUGUAGGUCCGGUGUGAAAACUCGAGGCUUAACCUCGAGAUGUCAUCGGAAACCAUUUGGCUAGAGUCCGGAAGAGGAGAGUGGAAUUCCUGGUGUAGCGGUGAAAUGCGUAGAUAUCUGGAGGAACACCGGUGGCGAAGGCGGCAUCCUGGACCGAGAUUGACGCUGAGGCGCGAAAGCCAGGGGAGCAAACGGG
rnacentral:rRNA from 1 species